UCAUUAUCGAAUUAUAAGCGAGGGUUGUAGCUGGCCUCCCUUUCGAGGCAUGUGCACGCCUGAGCUCUUAAAUCCACAACACACCUGUGAACCCACCGUAGGCCUUCGGGCUUAUGUAUCAUAUACUCUGAAUGUGUCAUAGAAUGUUCAUGUUGCCUUAAAACGCAAUCAAAUACAACUUUCAACAACGGAUCUCUUGGCUCUCGCAUCGAUGAAGAACGCAGCGAAAUGCGAUAAGUAAUGUGAAUUGCAGAUUUUCAGUGAAUCAUCGAAUCUUUGAACGCACCUUGCGCUCCUUGGUAUUCCGAGGAGCAUGCCUGUUUGAGUGUCAUUAAAUCCUCAACCCCACCGAUUCGUUUCGGGGGGGAUUGGACUUGGAGUGUGCUGGCGAAGGUCGGCUCCUCUUUAAAUGCAUCAGUGGAGAAGAAACUCGCCCCAGUGUGAUAAUCCUGUUGUGCUGUGGUGGGUGAAAGUCCGCUUCCAACCGUCCUCCGGGACAGACAUCAUCUCAAUUUGACCUCAAAUCAGGUAGGACUACCCGCUGAACUUAAGCAUAUCAAUAAGCGGAGG
rnacentral:rRNA from 1 species